AUUGUACAUGUUAUCAAAUCUUAGAAUGAUUUAUCUAAAACUCGUCAAUAUUGUCAAAUUAAAUUGAAAGUACCUAACAACCUCUUGAAAACUUCGCCAAAUUCGCAAAUAAUGAUUCUGCUGGCGAAAUUUCUUGAAAACUGAACAAUUUCAUUCACAAAUUUGUAGAACUUCGUAGGAUAUUUGCGUCGGUAAUAAUAGGAGGAGAAUGAAGAAAAAAAUGUGCAAAAUUGUAAGCGGCCAGUCUUGGCAACAACUGAAAACCUUGUAAUGCAACCAGUAAACAUUUACCAAAAAACUACUCACAACGGAUGUGACUUUGUCUGAGCAAGGUAUGCACAAAAGCGGGCAGCAUAGAGAAUGCCGCAGAAGGAAGAGUCGGUGGAGCAGUGCGGGAUUGUUGCAGCCAGGCCUUUCGCACUUAUUGCGAAAUAUUCAUUACGAAUGCACAAAGGACUUGCGAUAAGAACACUCCAAUGUAACGAAUCGUGACUGGCGAUUAUUUGAAUAUUCGGCGUAGAACGGAGCAUACCUGCCGCUGGCAACCUUAAUCAUAACCUAUAUACUUGUAUUUAACUCAAUAACUUGCACUCAAAUAUUAUGCCGCAAUUUUUCUACUUCACUGCGAAAUUCCAGUAUGCUCUCCAACCCAGAAAAAGAACAAACACGUCACUCUCAUACACAUUUCGGGUCAUAAAAAUAUUAUUAUUUAUGAGCACGUUGCCUGCGUCGGGCCGAGAAUGUGACCAUCAAAAAUGUUGUGCUCAUAAAUUAACGGAGUCAAUGGGUAUAAGUCGGCUUUCGGCAGAUUCAUGUUGUUCAACGACGUGCCACAAA